rnacentral:rRNA from 1 species
GCCUAUGGCUAUGUUUCCCUGAACAAGCCUGAUCCCAUCCGAUCUCAGAAGCUAAGCAGGGUCAGACCUGGUUAGUACUUGGAUGGGAGACCACCUAGUCUUAGGCA